UACGUAGGGUGCGAGCGUUAAUCGGAAUUACUGGGCGUAAAGCGUGCGCAGGCGGUUCGUUGUGUCGGCGGUGAAAGCCCCGGGCUCAACCUGGGAAUGGCCGUUGAAACUGGCGAACUGGAGUGUGGCAGAGGGGGGUGGAAUUCCGCGUGUAGCAGUGAAAUGCGUAGAGAUGCGGAGGAACACCGAUGGCGAAGGCAGCCCCCUGGGCUGACACUGACGCUGAGGCGCGAAAGCGUGGGGAGCAAACAGG
rnacentral:rRNA from 1 species